GUCUACGGCCAUACCACCCUGAACGCGCCCGAUCUCGUCUGAUCUCGGAAGCUGAGCAGGGUCGGGCCUGGUUAGUACUUGGAUGGGAGACCGAAUAAUGUCCCUACAACUCUGGUCC
ensembl:rRNA 5S_rRNA 5S ribosomal RNA